CAGGCCUAACACAUGCAAGUCGAACGGCAGCACGGGAGCAAUCCUGGUGGCGAGUGGCGAACGGGUGAGUAAUAUAUCGGAACGUGCGCUAGAGUGGGGGAUAACGUAGCGAAAGUUACGCUAAUACCGCAUACGAUCUAAGGAUGAAAGUGGGGGAUCGCAAGACCUCAUGCUCCUGGAGCGGCCGAUAUCUGAUUAGCUAGUUGGUAGGGUAAAAGCCUACCAAGGCAUCGAUCAGUAGCUGGUCUGAGAGGACGACCAGCCACACUGGAACUGAGACACGGUCCAGACUCCUACGGGAGGCAGCAGUAGGGAAUCUUCCGCAAUGGACGAAAGUCUGACGGAGCGACGCCGCGUGAGCAAAGAAGGUCUUCGGAUCGUAAAGCUCUGUUGUUAGAGAAGAAGAAGUACCGUUCGAAUAGGGCGGUACGGUGACGGUACCUAACGAGAAAGCCCCGGCUAACUACGUGCCAGCAGCCGCGGU
rnacentral:rRNA from 1 species